UACGGGGGGGGCAAGCGUUGUUCGGAAUUACUGGGCGUAAAGGGCUCGUAGGUGGCCAACUAAGUCAGACGUGAAAUCCCUCAGCUCAACUGGGGAACUGCGUCUGAUACUGGUUGGCUUGAGUGCAGGAGAGGAACGCGGAAUUCCAGGUGUAGCGGUGAAAUGCGUAGAUAUCUGGAGGAACACCGGUGGCGAAGGCGGCGUUCUGGACUGUAACUGACACUGAUGAACGAAAGCGUGGGGAGCGAACAGG
rnacentral:rRNA from 1 species